rnacentral:rRNA from 1 species
GACGAACGCUGGCGGCGUGCUUAACACAUGCAAGUCGAACGGAAAGGCCCCGCUUUUGUGGGGUGCUCGAGUGGCUAACGGGUGAGUAACACGUGAGUAACCUGCCCUUGACUUUGGGAUAACUUCAGGAAACUGGGGCUAAUACCGGAUAGGAGCUCCUGCUGCAUGGUGGGGGUUGGAAAGUUUCGGCGGUUGGGGAUGGACUCGCGGCUUAUCAGCUUGUUGGUGGGGUAGUGGCUUACCAAGGCUUUGACGGGUAGCCGGCCUGAGAGGGUGACCGGCCACAUUGGGACUGAGAUACGGCCCAGACUCCUACGGGAGGCAGCAGUGGGGAAUAUUGCACAAUGGGCGGAAGCCUGAUGCAGCAACGCCGCGUGCGGGAUGACGGCCUUCGGGUUGUAAACCGCUUUCGCCUGUGACGAAGCGUGAGUGACGGUAAUGGGUAAAGAAGCACCGGCUAACUACGUG